rnacentral:rRNA from 1 species
GAUGAACGCUGGCGGCGUGCCUAAUACAUGCAAGUAGAACGCUGAAGGAGGAGCUUGCUCUUCUGGAUGAGUUGUGAACGGGUGAGUAACGCGUAGGUAACCUGCCUGGUAGCGGGGGAUAACUAUUGGAAACGAUAGCUAAUACCGCAUGACAACAGUUAUUGCAUGAUAACUGUUUAAAAGGGGCAACUGCUCCACUACCAGAUGGACCUGCGUUGUAUUAGCUAGUUGGUGAGGUAACGGCUCACCAAGGCGACGAUACAUAGCUGACCUGAGAGGGGGAUCGGCCACACUGGGACUGAGACACGGCCCAGACUCCUACGGGAGGCAGCAGUAGGGAAUCUUCGGCAAUGGACGGAAGUCUGACCGAGCAACGCCGCGUGAGUGAAGAAGGUUUUCGGAUCGUAAAGCUCUGUUGUAAGAGAAGAACGAGUGUGAGAGUGGAAAGUUCACACUGUGACGGUAUCUUACCAGAAAGGGACGGCUAACUACGUG